AUAUAUAUACUCAUUUAAGAAUAUUCUAGGUAUUCUGUAAAUUAUUGCUCUCUGGAAAAGACAGCUAUUCUCUAUAUUAUCAGUUAGUAUGUGAUAACGAAUUGAUAGCACAGUUCCUCAACAGGUAUACACGUACAUUACCGAAAAUCAUCUGUAAGCAACGCGACCGACACUGAUAAGCUGAUUAAAUAUAGCGCAAUGGAAAGAAUAAUAUGAUUAUGAAAUCUCCAUCGUAUUUCAGACUUAAUAUCGGAAAGAAAAAUUAUUUUUCAAAAGUAUAAAUUAGAGGUGUGAUGUGAACGAGAACGAACAAGAAUAUGUACAUGACGUGGACAUAGUUCUCCGUUUUAUAUACCUGCUUGAACGUCACAGGUGAAUUUUCUUAUCAGUUCAUGUUACAGUUCCAAUCCUUCUACUUUGAAGUUAAAAAGUCUUAUUGUCUAAUAUCUUUUCAUGACUAUAUUCAUAAUUAGUCGCUUAGUAAUGAGAAACAAAAAUGUGAAAAAACGGUUGAUAUUAGAAGAAAAAGUAUGAUGAAAUAAUUGUUUUUAAUUUAAAAAGGUAAUGAUUAAUUUUGAUAAUAUAAGAUGAAAUCAAAAUCGAAUUUGAUAAGUUCAAUACAAUUUUUGUACUAUCAGUAGUUAGAUUAGUAUUUAAAAAUUAAAAUGUGAUUAAACUUGUACAAAAUAUGAAAUGAA